CCCCAGGGGUUUGCACAGGGGGGUUCACUCUGGGGCCCCCCAGGGGUUUGCACAGGGGGGGUUCGCUCUGGGUGUCCCCAGGGGUUUGCACAGGGGGGUUCACUCUGGGUGUCCCCAGGGUUUGCACAGGGGGGGUUCACUCUGGGUGUCCCCAGGGGUUUGCACAGGGGGGGUUCGCUCUGGGUGUCCCCAGGGGUUUGCACAGGGGGGUUCACUCUGGGGCCCCCCAGGCUCCCCAGCACCCUCGGGCAGGCUGCAGGUGGUGCUCAGACCCCCGGCUGCCCUCGCAGCCCAUUGUAAAGCAAAUGAAUUCUCCCAGGACCCGGAAUAGCUUGGCAGGGAGCAGAGCAGCUGCUCCGGGACUCAGUGCCCCUGUUUGAUUGCAUUUGUCUGAUUUCAGCAGCCUGCGAGGGGCAGGGGAGCCAUGGGGACAUCUCUCUGCAUGGGUGAGCUCACAGCUUCUCCUCCUGCACAUCCUCCUCAGCUCAGACAGAAUUUUAUUCUCCUGCUCCCUUCGAAGCACACCCAGAGGUGUCACUGUCAAAGGACAGUGUUUGGUGGAUGAAUCCAUCUCUUUUACCUUACAGGAUAAACGCGGUGUUUUUGACAAUAAAUGCCAUUUUCUUGAAUGGAAACAAGCAGUCCAAAAGGCUUCUGCUGGGUUUAGCAGCCUGUUUGGAGGGUCUGCCCUGGGGAGAGGGCUGUCAUGAGAGUAAACUGGUGUUAAACUGCUGGUUUGUGUUGCAGAGACUCAGAGCUGGAUGCAGCUGCAGGUUGGUGCUGAGGAUGUUCCCCCACUGCUCCCGAAUUUUGCACUGGCAUCCUUGGGUGUCCUGCCUGGGGCUGGGGCAUGGCCACAGCCUGGGGAAGGGAGUUAGUGACUCACUGUGAAAUUUCCUCUCCCUUUCAGGCAUUACAACAUAGAUUUUCCUCUUGCACAGGCCCCAGCUCUGCAGACAGGCACUGCCCUCGCUGCAGGGAAAUUGGUAGGAUGUCUUGGGGCAAAGGUAAAACUAAAGUACAUCAGUAAAUGUUAGCAGGAUCAGGACCUUAUUCAGGCAUAAAUCAGGUAGCCCCAGCCAACAAUAGAAUUACCUAAGUAUAAAAUCCCAUGUAAGCCAGUAAGAUCAGCUCCAAACCUGCUAUGAAUUUGCUUUUUGUUUCCGUGCCAAGAAUAUAUCACUGCUAACUGCUGCAAUCAGGGCUGGUCCUUUCAGGUUUUUUUAAGUGCUUUUGAGCACGUUUAUUUCCCGUCCCCAGCAGAUCCACACGGAGCCUGGCCCUCCUUCCCUGGGGCAUGCCCAAGCCUGUUCACCCACAAUAAAUUGUCCCUAUCAGGGAAUAUUUUUUUUUCUUUCCUGGCUGUUUUUGUUACUGCAUUCGGUAAACAAAGGGACAGCAGCAGUGACGAUCCAAACCCGUUCUUUUUUAUUUGCCUGGGAACAGAGUCAACUAUUUGUUGGUCUUUUGUUGCUGCUUUUGUUCUCUUUUUAGCCAGAGACCGUUGGAGCAGCUCCUGGUACCUGUGGGCAGCACGUACUGGAGCUGCAGCAUUUGUCACCUGCUGCCACGAGCCCGGGGAGGGGCAGCGAGGAGCACAAGGUGGGGUAUGGUACCAGGUACCAGGUCAAACCAAAGGUGCAGGGCACAAUGGUCCCUUCUGUCCCUCCCAAACAGAAUGAGAACAGCCUGCAGCAGUGUGCUGUGGUUGUAUGUGCCUCAGUUUCCCCGGUUCUCAGUGCACUGAGAUGAGAGGUCUGGUUGCACCUGGCUGAGCCAGGGUGAUGCCAGCUCUUGGGGAUGAGCUGCUCAAAACACUUGGAGAAGGAAGGCAGGGAGGGAUGGGAGGGAGGGAAGGAAGGAAGCUGGAGGCUCCUUUAGCCUGAGGACAGACCUCUCCUGGCCUCUCCAUCUCUGGGGCCUGUGCAGCAGCUCUGGCAGCUCCAGGCUGGUCACUUCUUAGCAGAGACACCAGGAGAAGCACCCUGGCUCCCACUGCCACCCCACCUGUGCCUCCAACCCACACCAGGGCUCUCCAAAAACCCAGCAGAGCUUCCCCUUCCCCGUUCCACUGGGACCACAGCACAGCCAGGAGCAGGAAUGCAUUUCCCAUGCUUUGGGCACUGGUGUGGGCUGGGGACACCCAUCAGAGCCAUUUGUCACCCCAGGCCACUCUGAAACAGGGUGGGGAAGCUGCUCUGCUGCCUGUGCCAGGCACAGCUCCUGUGCUGCAAACCAAACCUGCAGGGGAGCAGCCCCGGGAGCCAUCUGGUGCCUCUGAGGCUUUGAUGGAGUGGAACAAAACCAGAGCAGCCCAGCAGGUUGGACUGUGAGCCAUGCUGAGCCUGUCCUGCCCUGCUCAGGCUGCCUGCCCGGGUGCUCAGGAGUGUGUUGGUGUCUCCUGCCAGUGCUGCUGAGACUGGGGGGUUUGCAUGUGAAGCAGGAUGGGUUUGCGGUCAGGAGAUACGAGUGGAGGGAGCAGCAUCUCAGAGCAGCAUCCCAAACACCAGUCAGGCAGCAGGGCGGCCAGGGGAGCUUGGGGACACGUGGUGUGUGCUCUGAGCCUGUGGCAGGACAGCCAGGACCCAAAGCUGUCCCCAGGGCUGAGGGCAGCACGGCCAAACCACCAUGGAUGGCUGGAGAGGCUUCCCUGAGCUCUGCUCCUCCUGGGGGGAUCAACAGAGCUGCAGCACACAGGAGGAGGGGUACACAUUUGGGUCCCCCCAAACAAGUCCCAAACCCACAGAGGCAAGAAAAAUGACUCAGGAGAAUUCCUCUGGGAUUUUACCUCGCACCUCACUUUGUGACGCUCUGGGUUUGCUGUGGAAAGGCACAGCCCAGCUUGGUUGAAUCUCAUUACAUUAAGCAUUUGCUGCCUGGUUUCCAGGAGCUGUGAGCAGCAUUUGCCAUGCUGGGAAACAGGCUGGAGGAGGGAUGUGUGCCCUCCACCUGCAGCUGUGGGGGCUGCAGUGACUCACUGAUAUCAGGGGGCUGCCCAGAAAGGACCUGGGGAUGUUUAUGUUGCAAGGGCUUCUGGAGGUUUGCUCUAUAAUUACAGUUAUGUAAAAAAAGAGGCAGAUUUCAGAGUUUACUCUAAAUGAAAAAGGGAGGAAUGAUUGUUUCUGACUGGUCAUGGAUUCAUUUUUUAAUUGUGUACCCACAAUGUGUUGUCAUGCAAGAAAAAUCUAACCCUUACAAAAACUCAUUUCAAAAUGAGUAACUGCAACAUUUUUUCAGUCAUUGUGUGAGAAGGCUGUUGCAGGACUGCUGGGACUUCCCUUCUCCCCAGAAUGAGAUUCUGGUGUAAUUAAUGGGGCGUUUGGACUCUGAUAGCAUUUGCUUCAAUCCAGUUUCUCAUGGAAACCCUCCUGAUGCCUCUCAGAUCUUCAUGAAGACCCAGCCUUGCUGCAGGGAUGGUCCCGGCUGAAGCCAGGCAGGGAGGACGGCAGCACGUGGGAAAUGCAGUGGCACAGGCCCUGAUGGAUGUCAUGCCUGUGCAGGAUUCCUGGCAGGACUGCAGCUUUCGUCCAGAUUGCAGAUGCCCAAAAUAUCUGUAUUCUGGGCUGAGCAGACUGAAGUGCCCAGGGUUGGCUGAUUGAAGAGGACAUAGGGGAAUGCAAAAAGACAGACAGACAGAAAGACAGACAGAGGAAAAGUGCCUGAGAAUGUAUGGCAGCAGUGGGCAAAAGGAUGGGGGAUGCUCCUGGGGUCUGCCCCAUCUCCAGCCGUGGCUCUCACACCAGCACGGGAUAUUUUUACUGUUUUUCUGAGUCUGCUGAAGCCUGAGCUCAGUCCAGGACAAGGUUUUGCCCCAGAUUAGCUUGUGCUACCAGCCAUUAAAUUUGGUUGCAUUGCUGUUAUGUUAUGCUUCUCAUUUUAAAUUAUCUUCUAAACUGUGCACACCUGGCAUCUCCAGGAGCCAGGAUUUGUGAAAUAAAAGUUAAAAUGCCAGUUGAAAUAAGGGAUUUAUGUGUAUUCUUUCACAUACACACAUGAAUGCACACAGCUACUGAUAAAAACCACAUGUUUGUUCAUACAUACAUGUUUCUGAUCAGAUUUAUAAUGUAUAUAAUAUAAACGUUUUUCUACAUAUAAAAUUCAUUGGAAACAGGAAACCAAAUUAGUUUACCUUACUAAAGUAGCAUGAAAUACAGAGCAGUGUGCACUGUUGAAAAGAAGGUAGGAUGUGGUUUUUGGAGGACUUUUCUUUCCCCAGGGCUCGUUCUACCAUGUUUAUGUCUAAAACCUGCUAAUUUUAAAGCCAGCUCACAGGAGACUAAUGGCAUGACUCAUUUAUUUCAUUUCACUUUCAUUUUGCAGAGCUCAGGGUUUGUUUAAGGUGCUCACCUGUCAGCAGCUCGUGGAUGCUACAGGAGACCAGGAAUGGCCGUGAGUACCUGCACACACUGACCCCCCAUUUACCCAUGAACAGGAGCCACUCCAAUGAGCUGAGUCUGAUUUUAAAAGAUCUUUUGAGUGUUAAACAUGUAAUAAGACGCUCAGUGUUAUUUUCAAACCAAGACAUGUUCCUGGCUGAUUUAUAAAAGGCCACAGUCUCCACUUUUAUGUGGGCAAAUGCUUUUAAAAAUUGGCUCCUGGGAUUUGGGGUGCUCAUUGAUUCAUCCUCUCACAAGCCUCCAUCUCUGACCUUUCCAUUACCAACUUUUCCAUCUCCAACUGCUUCAUCAUGCUCCUGAGCAUGGGCACACAGCUAAUAAAUCUGAGUCUUUAAUUGCCCUCCCACACUGUGUGGCUUUAUCUGAGCCAUCAUUCCUGUCGCUGUGCCUUGUCGCAUCCUUCUGCUUCCAGAUUUGUGCUGCUGGAGUCAGCAAGAGGAUAAAACUGUUAUUUAGGUUUGGGUUUAGGUACAAAUCCCCUCAGUAACACACUCCAUGGCUGUGUGGCCCCACAUGAUGUGUCUGACGUGGCUGAGUUGGCUCUGUCUGGGGUGGGUACAACCCCUCUGCUUUUAUUUCAUGCAAGGUCCCAUUUUUUGAUUUUUUUACGCACCUGAAACGAUGUGAAAAAUUUGUGUAGGGAAAAAAAAAACCCCACAAACCCACCAUAAAUUCCCUUGCUAAAGGCAUCAGUAAGGACAGAGGGUCCUGCUGGCCUGGUGGUGCCAGCACCACUAGGAUGGAAAAACCUCAAGAACACCCAUUGUCCCUGGUACCCAAGGGAGAUUUAUUUAUUUAUUCCCCCCAGUUUAUCACCCUGUCAGGAAGUUUCCCAAGCCCUCCAGGAGCGGGUGCAGCAGUAUCAGCAGGCACAGGUCUAUCAGGCUGAGCAGAAGCUUUUCCAGGAACUAUCUAGUGCCACACGUGACCGUGCCCCGGGCGAUACGUGACAGGCAUUCACCGGCCGGUCAGUUGACUUUGUUAUUCAAACUAUUUUAGUGAUGGUUUUUAAUCCCAGGCUUAAGUUUUUCUUUUUCUAUUUUUUUUUUUCUCCCUCUUCUUUUUUUACUCUCUGAACAAGGGAAUCUCUAUGCUGGCAGGAUUCAGAGAGGCACAAAGGAGGGAAAAACAAGUUUCAGCCAGAAGAGAGAGAGAGAGAAAAAAAAAAGGAUGCUGUUAGCAUUCCCUGUAUUUGAGGGGUAAAAACAUUUUGCUGUCAACUCUGUUUUAAAGGGUAAGUGCUAAAAGCAGCCCAGUUACUAUGCAAAUAAACGGUGUGCUCAGCCUUUUCCUCUCAGUGCAAACUUGUUAGCCAGGGGAGCUGGGCUGUGGGGCUGGCAGUGUCCCCAUGUCCCCAGUGCUCCCAUCCCAUCCUGGGGAUACCCACUGGCUGGGGGUGCCACUGCAAAGCUCUGGACCUUGACAGGAGCCCAUGUGGGUGCCCAAACAAGGUGGGACAGCGUGGGGAGCACAACAGAGGUGUGGGCUGGGUACCCCCUGCUCCUUGUCAAAAGCAGACUCAGGCAGCUGGCAGCAGAGCCCUUGGCUGUCCCUCUGUGG